CCAAACCAUGGUUGCAGCCCUAAAAAGGGAAAGAUAAAUACAAAACCCCCAGACCAGCCUUGAAUAUUGGGGGCUUUGGCUGGGAGUGUCUGAGUGGUGCUGCAGGCCUGUGCCAGGUAGCACCCCCGUCUUUGGCCAGGUCAUUGGAAGAAUGGGCCCCAGGCUGGGUCCUUGGAGAAGACCUGGUGGUUAUGUAACCCAGUCCCAGCUACAUUCUGACAUAGGCUGAGUUAAUACUCAGAAUGCCCGGUGGCAGGAGGGACCCGCGCUGUCCCCGCUGGGCAGAUUUACUCACUCAUUCAACAGCAUCCACUGCGCACCUUCUCGGAGCCGACCUGUGCUGGGGAAAAAGAGACAAGAAAGUGCCUGCUCCACAAGGACGAAUGUCCUUGGACACCCCCCCCCCCACCUGCCCCCCAGCAUCCCAAGGGCGUGCCAGGCAGGGAGACAGCAAGAGAAGGUCAGCAGGGGUAGGAGUGGGCUGGCAUGAAGGCCUUGCCCAGCAGAUGGCAUGGAACCUAAAACCUGAAUGUUGAAGGUACAGGGCAGGAUUCAAACCCAGGCCCAGGCGACACCAAUCCAGGAAGGUACCCGGGACUUCGGGGCCAAGGGUAGCCAGGGCUUGGUGAAUGGGGAAGGCCCGGAGGCCAAGGGACCUCAGAGCCCAGGAGUUAUGGAAGUGACAUCUACCCCUCCUUGGUUCCUUAGCAACCUGAGAUCUCCCAGUCCCAGUGCACUGUGACCUGAAGCUGGCAGGCCAUCCUCAUGGAAGUGAGCAGAGUACCCACAAAACCCCACACUGGGACAAAGAGAAGGAUGCCCGGAUCCUCCCUGCCAGCUCCUCCCACCCGCUUCCAGUCCGCCAGCCCCUCUCCUGCCUCGCUGAGCACCUGGAUGCCCGCUCUGGACAUUAUCUCCCCGCCCCCACCUUGGACCACGCUGGACCCCAAGGGCAAUGACCGCCUGCAGCUGGGUACCCUUGCAUGCAAAACGAGGGGCUGGGGUGUCACCCCCAAGAGGGACAGAAUGAAGGAAGAGGAUCAGAGAGACCUGGAAGUGAAUCCUGAGAGCGUCUGAAGCUGGACUUAGUUAUA